rnacentral:rRNA from 1 species
GACGAACGCUGGCGGCGUGCUUAACACAUGCAAGUCGAACGGAAAGGCCCUGCUUUUGUGGGGUGCUCGUGUGGCGCACGGGUGAGUAACACGUGAGUAACCUGCCCUUCUCUUUGGGAUAACUCCAGGAAACUGGGGCUAAUAUCGGAUAGGAGCUCCUGCUGCAUGGUGGGGGUUGGAAAGUUUCGGCGGUUGGGGAUGGACUGGCGGCUUAUCAGCUUGUUGGUGGGGUAGUGGCUUACCAAGGCUGUGACGGGUAGCCGGCCUGGGAGGGUGACCGGCCACAUGGGGACUGGGGUACGGCCCAGACUCCAACGGGAGGCAGCAGGGGGAAGUAUGGCACAAUGGGCGGAAGCCUGAGGCAGCAACGCCGCGUGCGGGAUGACGGCCUUCGGGUUGUAAACCGCUUUCGCCUGUAACAAGGCGUUAGUGACGGUAAUUGGUAAAGAAGCACCGGCUAACUACGUG